AUGACACCAACGCAGAUGGACCACAUCCUGUCAGUGAUUGGUGCAGAUUUCCAGCGACAGGACACCAAUUACAGACUGGCAGUCGAACCCAAGCAAAGACUUGUGGUUACACUGAGCAAGGGCACCAGACUGAGGGCAAAAUGUAACAUCUCAUCCUCCUCCUGUGGCACACGAUGGUGCAUGUGCUGUGGAGGCUCCUGGACCAUAGCCAGCAGCCUAUCCUCCAAAGACUCCAAAGGUGCUGAGGCCCUCUUUCGUGCAGCAGGUCUGCUGUAGGGCUGUUUGAUUAUGGAAAAGAAUGAUAAUCACAAUUAUUCGAAUCAACAUUGAAAUUACAAUUAUUUAACACAAAUAUUUAUUAGGUUAGGAAAACAAUUGCACAGCCCUACCCUGUUGGUUGAAGAACCAGGUUGAGAAUGCUGAUCUGGUUGAUGGUCAUUCUCCUCCCGCACAUCCUCUCCAUGGCUCAGGUCCAAUGCCUCCCAAUCUUCAACUUGGUCUAGGUUGCUUCUAGAGCUAAAGCAUAAAUGACAUGCACAAUGAUUUAUAGUCUAGGUAAAUGUAUGCUGAUUCUUAAAAUGAGAAAAUCAUUUCAGUUAUUUUAGAACUUGUGCUAUAUGUAAAAUAGUGCACUGGGAAUCAGUGAGCCAUCAUUAUUCACAGCAAAAUAUAUAAUGGUUUUCAUUACAUUUCAUUGAUUUAUUACCAUACUCUAUGUUAAAAGGCCCACGCAAAUCUCGCGGAAAAUAAUAAAAAUAGAAACCAGUCUAUGUCUUAAUUUUCCGCGCGGAAAUGUCGGCGCGGUACUUUCAGUUUCAGCGUCUGGUCUAGCCACUCUCAUUGCUUUCAACGGUUUCGAAUUCUGCUGCGUUCACAACGCGUCCGCAAAGCAAAAUUUCCGCGUCUGGUGUAGCCAGGCCCUAACAGUGACUUCACACAGAAGCUCUGGCUUAGGGCCCCCCACCGCCCUUGGGCCCCUGGGCAUGUGCCCGGUGUUCCCGUGCGGUAAUCCACCCUUGCCUGUAAACAAUGCAACGUGUGCGAACUCCUGUACCCGUCUUUCUGUGAGAGUUACAGGCCCAGUAAGAGCCAAAAUAAGAUUUGGGGAACUAUGAAGACUGGGACCCAAAGGUAUGACCUUAACAGAUGUAAUGUGAGGAAUAACGAAGUGACCACAUCUAAGGGCAAAAAAUGUACCUCAAUAGACAUAAUGAAAAGCUACAUGUUAACAUAAAAGAUAAAUCAAUAAAGAGUAGAACAAACAAAGUCUCAACGGGGGGGGGGGGGGGGGGGAACACACUGACGCCUUCCUCAGUGAGGUGGACGCCACUCUCGCUUCACGCUCUGUCGCCCGACAUCGCCGUCACCGCCGCCAUAGCUGCCAAGCGCCGCCAUUAUGCUGCAUCAUAAGACUACUGGAGUCGUGUGGCGCAGGCGUCACGGGGAGGGGGGACGGGGAGGGGGAGAGGUGUUUGACUCAAAAGAGGCAAACACCUUCAGGUUUCUCCUGUCCAUCAUCUCCACACAGAACAGUUCAUAGUCAGUAUGUAAUCUGAAUGAGAAUUGGAAUGGUUUCCACGUUUCUUCCUCAUCCCCGCCGUCAUGGGAUAUGCGCUGUGUUGAUGCUGCCAUCUGCUCCCAACCUUCCAUCCCAUGACCUCUGGGAGAGAAACGCUGUCCUUGAAAGACUGUAACUGGCACCAUGCUGCUGCCUGAAUUGUGUCCUUCAGGACAACAUCAUCUUCCUUGAAGAAGAAAGAACAAUUAUUUGUGUCUGUACUUGACACCCUACUCUCCCAAAACCACAAAAUGGUAUGCAAACAAAGGCUACUACUACUGAUGAGUUUUCAGUGAUAAAAAACACUAUUCAACUAGUCAUCAGACUAUUUCAUCUGGCUAUACAUACAACCUCCAGCAUUACACACAUAUUACAUACCAGGUUCCCAGGUUCCAGUUCCUGGUCUUCAGUUUUGUAUGAAAAUAAAACAGAUUGUUGUCUGUAAUGUUGAGUAGGCUAAUACAACGGAAUAAUAAAAGUAGGCCCUAGUAGUGCAAUAGAUCAGCCAUGGAGUAGGCUAUAACUUGUAUAUUGAUGGUGUCUCUAAAAGUCAAAGAAAACCAGUAUAAACAUAAAAGCAGUUUUCUACAAAAAAACAUUGCAGCGUUUCGGUUUCCUAUUUUUCGGCUGCUUUGUAUAAGAUGGCUUGUGCAUAUACACAAUGUAAUUAGAAUAAAAAUAAUAUUGAUAUUCGAUUUCUGUGGACUCUUAUGAACAUUUCAAGACCCAACAUGAAGUAUCAACUCAUUGCUAAGGAUAUCCACAACGACGAUAAAGUAAGAAUGCACCAAGGGUGGGGGAGGGUGAGGGGGGCUAUUUUGACCUAAGACACUAGGAUAUAUUUGAUCUAUAUUCAUUAAACAUAUUUAUUCCACCGAAUGGUUGACAUUGGUUGACAUUCCUGAGAUUCUAAGCUUUCAAACGGUGUAUGACAUGACUAUAUCACUCAACCUUAUGAUGCUGAAAAUUGACCUAGCAUGUUGGGGGGAACAUGCUAGGUGUAACUAAAACUUUCUCGCCGGCGGGAUUUGACGAUUAAGUAGUUAACAAGACAUAAUACACAAUUGCAUGAAUAUUACUAAAUAUAUUAAGCAUUUUGACAGUCUCACUUACUUGCAUGUUUUAGGCAUCACUCGCUCGGGCGGGCACACUCUAAUUUCAGGUAAUUUCAGGUACAUUUCAGCUAAUAUCAGGUCAGAAACGGGAUCAGAAAUGCUGUUUGACCAGUCCUCAAUGUGAACUGAGUGGCCGCCCCCUCCAUGUGGACUGAGUGCCCGCCCCCUCCAUGUGGGCGGAGUGCCAGCCCCCUCCAUGUGGACUGAGUGCCCGCCCCCUCCAUGUGGGCUCCGUCUGCGGGCUGCAGUCAGGGGCUUCUCGUGACGUCGGGUCAAGCUCCACGCUGAUUGGCUACCGCGGCUAAGCGUCACGCGUUGGAGCGUUGAAAGUUCAAUUUUCUGAACUCCGGGCGUUGGUGCGUUGGGCGCGUUACUGCGUUUACGUGCGUAAUUACGUGCAACUGCCGCGCCAGGCGGCUGCAUGCUUCAGCGUUGGUGUUACGUUGUUGCGCAAAAUUUACUCAAAGCAAUUCAUGCUCCCUUUUAUGGUGCGGCCACACCAACCGCGUUACUCGCGUUGGACAACGCGAGUAACGCGCCUAACCUAACGGUGCGGCCACACCAAACGCGUUACUCGCGUUGGAUAACGCGAGUAACGCGCCUAACCUGACGCUUGAUCAUUGUGUGGUGGUUGUGGUUCAACGCUUCCAACGCGUCAACGCGCCAACGCAGCUAGAUGAGUCCAUGUCCAUGCAAGUGAACGGAGCGUUCCCUCUUCGUCAUAACUAUCAAACCAAACAUCCUUCACAUUCACCGAGCGAACAUUAUGAAAGUAAAAUGCACAUUUCUCGCUAAAAAUGUUUCCAUAAACGCAUUUAAUGGCGUAACUAUGUUACUAUUUCCACCCAGAAUAAAGAUAGUUGUCGGCCGUGGCUGCGCUGGAGUCCGAGCCGAGGUAGGAAACCCAAACGCCGCCGUGUUUGGGUGAUAGAGCUUAGAUCGGGUUUGAUUAAAUAAUCUCUGAUAUAAAUAACAAUAAUCGGGUUGAAUAACUUCACAUGGUGUGUCUGGUGUGUUUCCAGCAUUCGUAGCGUUGAUCAGCAGAGAAAUAGUCCGCCAAGACGUUGAGGUUGCUUAGCAUCCAGAGACUCUGUCCAUGCAAGUGAACGGAGCGUUCCGUCUUCGUCAUAACUAUCAAACCAAACAUCCUUCACAUUCACCGAGCGAACAUUAUGAAAGUAAAAUGCACAUUUCUCGCUAAAAAUGUUUCCAUAAACGCAUUUAAUGGCGUAACUAUGUCACUAUUUCCACCCAGAAUAAAGAUAGUUGUCGGCCGUGGCUGCGCUGGAGUCCGAGCCGAGGUAGGAAACCCAAACGCCGCCGUAUUUGGGUGAUAGAGUUUAGAUCGGGUUAGAUUAAAUAAUCUCUGAUAUAAAUAACAAUAAUCUGGUUAAAUAACUUCACAUGGUGUGUCUGGUGUGUUUCCAGCAUUCGUAGUGUUGAUCAGCAGAGAAAUAGUCCGCCAAGACGUUGAGGUUGCUUAAAAACCAGAGACUCUGUCCAUGCAAGUGAACGGAGCGUUCCCUCUUCGUCAUAACUAUCAAACCAAACAUCCUUCACAUUCACCGAGCGAACAUUAUGAAAGUAAAAUGCACAUUUCUCGCUAAAAAUGUUUCCAUAAACGCAUUUAAUAGCGUAACUAUGUUACUAUU
rnacentral:lncRNA from 1 species